GAUUAAGUUAUUAAGGGCGCACGGUGGAUGCCUUGGCACUAGAAGCCGAAGAAGGACGUUACUAACGACGAUAUGCUUUGGGUAGCUGUAAGUAAGUGUUGAUCCAGAGAUUUCCGAAUG
rnacentral:rRNA from 1 species